GUGGGGAAUAUUGCACAAUGGGCGCAAGCCUGAUGCAGCAACGCCGCGUGAGCGAGGAAGGCUUUCGGGUCGUAAAGCUCUGUCCUUGGGGAAGAAGGAAGUGACGGUACCCAAGGAGGAAGCCCCGGCUAACUACGUGCCAGCAGCCGCGGUAAUACGUAGGGGGCAAGCGUUAUCCGGAAUUAUUGGGCGUAAAGAGUACGUAGGUGGUUUUGUAAGCGCGGGGUGAAAGGCAGUGGCUUAACCAUUGUUAGCCUUGCGAACUGCAAGACUUGAGUGCAGGAGAGGGAAGCGGAAUUCCUAGUGUAGCGGUGAAAUGCGUAGAUAUUAGGAGGAACACCAGUGGCGAAGGCGGCUUACUGGACGGUAACUGACGUUGAGGCUCGAAAGCGUGGGGAGCAAACAGG
rnacentral:rRNA from 1 species